UACGUUUCUCUUUCUGUCGGCGGUUGCAGAACCAGACGCGGAUCACCUCCUUCUCCAUGUUGAGCUGCUCAGCGAUGAGUAGAAUCUCCUCUGAGCUGCGUUCCAAAGCCACGCGCACGUUGGUCUCGAUGCUGGUGCGUUUCUUGCGGCGGCGGACUGGCAGGCCCUCAAAGCCCAGGGAUGGUGAGGACAAAGAGCUGGGACUUGGCAAGGUGCGGGCAAACUGUUCGAGCUCUUCCAGGUCACUUGGCUCCUCGGCAUGAGAGGUCACAGGGUUCACCGUACUGACACUGCUUUCCAUGACCUUUUCUCUAUGCUAGAGAUACACACACACACAAACACUCAGUGAACCCCAAUCUCAACAUAAGUGUCAGUUUCAUGCUCAGUGUCUGUAAACAGGCCUAAAAAUCCUGCUUUACCUGUGCUUGAAGACCGAGUGCAGGAGGAGCAGUGAGGAGACCCCCCUGGUUUUGCUGAGGUAGUGGAAUCAAAUUUGGUGUCGGUAGCAGCCCUGAGAGAGAGAGAGAGAGAGACAGACAGAGAGAGAGAGAGAGAAACACUGUUUUGAAAUGUCUGUUUCUAAUAUGCUCAAGAAAAUUGGUAUAUGUCGGUAAGACUUAUAUAUCUCCAGUGCAGAGAGUGAGGAUCCCACCUUGCUGCCCUUGCUGUGCCUGUGGCAAAAGGAACUGUGCAGGCGAGGGCAAAGGAUGCCCUGGGACGAGGACCAACUGCUGCAGCUGCAACAGUUGCUGGAUGUCCUGAAGAAGAUAUGGACAAUGGAUGAGUUCAACUCAAUGAGGAAUCUGAAGAGAGUCUAGUCUCUGACUGAUAAUGCUGUUAUCAAGAUUAUAGGUGUGUGCAACUGAGGUGAUUUAUUUCUAUUAGUGGCAUGUUAGAUGCAGGGAAAGGAGACAGAUCAGGAAGCGUGGGUUUGUGAUGACUGGGCCUGAGAAGAACAGGGUGACUUUGUGUACCUGGGC